rnacentral:rRNA from 1 species
AUCGAGCGACAAGUACAACGACUAGCAACCAAGCUCAACAUCAACAAGCAACCCAUGGUCUUCAACAUUGGUGAUCUAGUGUGGCUACACCUUCGCAAGGACCGCUUCCCCAACGAACGCAAGUCCAAGCUUCUCCCUCGAGCCGAUGGACCUUUCAAGGUGCUAGCACGCUACAACGACAAUGCCUACAAGAUCGACCUACCUCGAGACAAGUACAAUGUGAGCGACAUCUUCAACGUCAAGGACCUCGCACCUUACCAUGGAGAUGAAGUUUUUGAUCCGAGGUCGGAUCUCUCC